rnacentral:rRNA from 1 species
GACAUUAGACGAAUCAUCUGGAAAGAUGAAUCAAAGAAGGUAAUAAUCCUGUAGUCGAAAAUGUUGUCUCUCUUGAGUGGAUCCUGAGUACGACGGAGCACGUGAAAUUCCGUCGGAAUCUGGGAGGACCAUCUCCUAAGGCUAAAUACUCUCUAGUGACCGAUAGUGAACCAGUACCGUGAGGGAAAGGUGAAAAGCACCCCGGAAGGGGAGUGAAAUAGAACCUGAAACCGUGUGCUUACAAGUAGUCAGAGCCCGUUAAUGGGUGAUGGCGUGCCUUUUGUAGAAUGAACCGGCGAGUUACGAUUUGAUGCAAGGUUAAGCAGUAAAUGUGGAGCCGUAGCGAAAGCGAGUCUGAAUAGGGCGUUUAGUAUUUGGUCGUAGACCCGAAACCAGGUGAUCUACCCUUGGUCAGGUUGAAGUUCAGGUAACACUGAAUGGAGGACCGAACCGACUUACGUUGAAAAGUGAGCGGAUGAACUGAGGGUAGCGGAGAAAUUCCAAUCGAACCUGGAGAUAGCUGGUUCUCUCCGAAAUAGCUUUAGGGCUAGCCUCAAGUGAUGAUUAUUGGAGGUAGAGCACUGUUUGGACGAGGGGCCCCUCUCGGGUUACCGAAUUCAGACAAACUCCGAAUGCCAAUUAAUUUAACUUGGGAGUCAGAACAUGGGUGAUAAGGUCCGUGUUCGAAAGGGAAACAGCCCAGACCACCAGCUAAGGUCCCAAAAUAUAUGUUAAGUGGAAAAGGAUGUGGCGUUGCCCAGACAACUAGGAUGUUGGCUUAGAAGCAGCCAUCAUUUAAAGAGUGCGUAAUAGCUCACUAGUCGAGUGACACUGCGCCGAAAAUGUACCGGGGCUAAACAUAUUACCGAAGCUGUGGAUUGUCCUUUGGACAAUGGUAGGAGAGCGUUCUAAGGGC